rnacentral:lncRNA from 1 species
GUCCCACGAGAGUACUUGGCUGAAAGAACAGGCAGUGACAGCCCUGCAGCAAGCUCAAGGAUGCGAGGAAUGGAGAGCAGCAGCUUUGUCGUUCCACAGGUCUUGAGGACAACCUUGUGGGGAUACACAAAGAGGCUCGACUCGGACAGAACAUAUGAGUCAAAGUUCUUGUUGGAGAGCUGUGACACUAUGGUGCACCGUGCAAGAUCCAGGAACGAGUCGAUCUGCUCACGAGAGAGGGCGCGCAGGCCAAGACCACAAGGGUCCUCGAAGACAGGUGCAUCAGAGAACGUUAUCUCGAGGCGCUUCUCGUAGCCCUCAAACCCAAUAGGGGAGGUGGGAGAAGAGCCCCAAGAAUCUGCUGAAGACAUCGCCAU